GAUGAAGAACGUAGCGAAAUGCGAUAAGUAAUGUGAAUUGCAGAAUUCAGUGAAUCAUCGAGUCUUUGAACGCACAUUGCGCCCCCUGGUAUUCCGGGGGGCAUGCCUGUCCGAGCGUCAUUGCCGCCCUCAAGCACGGCUUGUGUGUUGGGCCCCCGCCCCCCGGCUUCGGGGGGCGGGCCCGAAAGGCAGCGGCGGCACCGCGUCCGGUCCUCGAGCGUAUGGGGCUUCGUCACCCGCUCUGUAGGCCCGGCCGGCGCCCGCCGGCGACCCCAAUCAAUCUUUCCAGGUUGAACUCGGAUCAGGUAGGGAUACCCGCUGAACUUAAGCAUAUCAAUAAGCGGAGGA
rnacentral:misc_RNA from 1 species